rnacentral:rRNA from 1 species
AGUAAAGUGGCGUACGGGUGAGUAACACGUGGAUAACCUGCCCUUUAGUGGGGAAUACCGCUGGGAAACCGGCGACAAUACCGCAUAAGCUCGAGAGAGGAAAGCAGCAAUGCGCUGAAGGAGGGGUCCGCGGCCGAUUAGCUAGUUGGUAGGGUAAUGGCCUACCAAGGCUGUGAUCGGUAGCCGGCCUGAGAGGGCACACGGCCACACUGGCACUGAAACACGGGCCAGACUCCUACGGGAGGCAGCAGUGGGGAAUCUUGCACAAUGGAGGAAACUCUGAUGCAGCGACGCCGCGUGAGCGAUGAAGCCCUUCGGGGUGUAAAGCUCUUUCGGCAGGGAAGAUGAUGACGGUACCUGCAGAAGCAGCUGCGGCUAACUACGUGCCAGCAGCCGCGGUAAUACGUAGGCAGCAAGCGUUGUUCGGAGUUACUGGGCGUAAAGGGUGCGUAGGCGGCCUUGUAAGUAUGGUGUGAAAUCUCCCGGCUUAACUGGGAGGGUGCGCUAUUAACUGCAGGGCUAGAGUGCGGGAGAGGAAAGUGGAAUUCCUGGUGUAGCGGUGAAAUGCGUAGAUAUCAGGAGGAACACCGGUGGUGUAAACGGCUUUCUGGACCGUAACUGACGCUGAGGCACGAAAGCGUGGGUAGCAAACAGGAUUAGAUACCCUGGUAGUCCACGCCCUAAACGAUGCAUAUUUGGUGUGGGCCAUUCAGUUGGUCCGUGCCGGAGCUAACGCGUUAAAUAUGCCGCCUGGGGAGUACAGUCGCAAGGCUG